CAGAGAACACCUGGGACCGGAGCGCACCGAGGGUUACCUUCCAGUUCUACGGCAUCCCAACGCUCUUUACAAGCAGCCAAAAGGGGCAGACCCUCAACAGCUUUGUGGUGUCAGCCAGUGUGACCAAUGCAAGCUCUCCAAUCAAAGACCUAGAUGAAGACGUCAAAGUCACGCUCCGGCAUCUUAUACCCAGCGCACUUUACAAGGACGUACAGUGUGUUUACUGGAACUUCAAUAAAAACAAUGGACACGGAGGCUGGGACGAUUACGGCUGUAGAACACACAACAGCAGCUCUGACUACACAACGUGCCUGUGCAAUCAUCUCACACACUUCGCU